AUGAACGCUGGCGGCGUGCCUCAUACCUGCAAGUCGAGCGAACAGACGAGGAGCUUGCUCCUCUGACGUUAGCGGCGGACGGGUGAGUAACACGUGGAUAACCUACCUAUAAGACUGGGAUAACUUCGGGAAACCGGAGCUAAUACCGGAUAAUAUAUUGAACCGCAUGGUUCAAUAGUGAAAGACGGUUUUGCUGUCACUUAUAGAUGGAUCCGCGCCGCAUUAGCUAGUUGGUAAGGUAACGGCUUACCAAGGCAACGAUGCGUAGCCGACCUGAGAGGGUGAUCGGCCACACUGGAACUGAGACACGGUCCAGACUCCUACGGGAGGCAGCAGUAGGGAAUCUUCCGCAAUGGGCGAAAGCUUGACGGAGCAACGCCGCGUGGGUGAUGAAGGUCUUCGGAUCGUAAAACUCUGUUAUUAGGGAAGAACAAAUGUGUAAGUAACUAUGCACGUCUUGACGGUACCUAAUCAGAAAGCCACGGCUAACUACGUG
rnacentral:rRNA from 1 species